rnacentral:rRNA from 1 species
UACGGGGGGAGCAAGCGUUGUUCGGAUUUACUGGGCGUAAAGGGCGCGUAGGCGGCCACCGCAAGUCGACUGUGAAAUCUCUGGGCUUAACCCAGAACGGUCAGCCGAUACUGCGGGGCUAGAGUGCAGAAGGGGCAACUGGAAUUCUCGGUGUAGCGGUGAAAUGCGUAGAUAUCGAGAGGAACACCUGCGGCGAAGGCGGGUUGCUGGGCUGACACUGACGCUGAGGCGCGAAAGCUAGGGGAGCGAACGGG